rnacentral:rRNA from 1 species
GACGAACGCUGGCGGCAGGCUUAACACAUGCAAGUCGAGCGCCCCGCAAGGGGAGCGGCAGACGGGUGAGUAACGCGUGGGAAUCUACCUUUUGCUACGGAAUAACUCAGGGAAACUUGUGCUAAUACCGUAUGUGCCCUUCGGGGGAAAGAUUUAUCGGCAAAGGAUGAGCCCGCGUUGGAUUAGCUAGUUGGUGGGGUAAAGGCCUACCAAGGCGACGAUCCAUAGCUGGUCUGAGAGGAUGAUCAGCCACACUGGGACUGAGACACGGCCCAG